CAGCUGUGGGUUCACAAGCAGCGUUUUGGGGUGUCUCCACCAUGGCCUGGACCCCUCUCCUGCUCCCCCUCCUCACUCUCUGCACAGGUGC
rnacentral:pre_miRNA from 1 species